AUUGAACGCUGGCGGCAUGCCUUACACAUGCAAGUCGAACGGCAGCACGGGAGCAAUCCUGGUGGCGAGUGGCGAACGGGUGAGUAAUGUAUCGGAACGUGCCCAGUCGUGGGGGAUAACGUAGCGAAAGCUACGCUAAUACCGCUUACGAUCUAUGGAUGAAAGCGGGGGAUCGCAAGACCUCGCGCGAUUGGAGCGGCCGAUAUCAGAUUAGGUAGUUGGUGGGGUAAAGGCUCACCAAGCCGACGAUCUGUAGCUGGUCUGAGAGGACGACCAGCCACACUGGGACUGUGACACGGCCCAGACUCCUACGGGAGGCAGCAGUGGGGAAUUUUGGACAAUGGGCGAAAGCCUGAUCCAGCAAUGCCGCGUGCAGGAUGAAGGCCUUCGGGUUGUAAACUGCUUUUGUACGGAACGAAACGGCGAACUCUAAUACAGUUUGCUAAUGACGGUACCGUAAGAAUAAGCACCGGCUAACUACGUGCCAGCCGCCGCGGUAA
rnacentral:rRNA from 1 species